GGGGAAAGUCGUACGCGACCAGCUCCCUCUGAAUCCCCCCAGGGCUGGAAGGCAGCAAGGGUAGGAGGUUGUAGCGGUGCGACGUGCGUAGCUUUCCCU
rnacentral:SRP_RNA from 1 species